GGAGUGCUAUGGGUGCCUUUCCCCUACCUUGAAGGAGAUCAGGAUUGAACUCUUUGCGACAGAUUAAAAAGGCUAUGUACUCAUUUGAACUAAAAUUAUCCGGCUGCCAGCCUGCUUGAUAGCAAUUACAUCUAAAGAGAGAGAACCACUGAACUUCAUGUAUUGGUGUCAGAGCAGGCUGAGGGAGGCAACAUGGGGCACGGCCACAAGUGAGCCAUGGGCUGUGGUAUCCCACUGCAGGGCAGGGAUCCUCUACCAGCAGAGGGGGCUGCAGAGCCAAAAAGCCUCCAAUCCACCCCUCUGCCCCUCUGAGCGCCCUGCAAUAUGCUCAAUUUCAGUCAUUCCUGGCACUCGGCUCUUCUGUUGUUCGUUCUACAAUUCUGAACUACCUUAAAAGGAGACACCUUCGGUUUGGUUCAGAUACAUAAUUCGUGUCGUGUCCAUAGAUUUGUUUCUCUUACAGCGUGCCAUCACGUUACUAUCCCCAGAAAUGUUUGAUUCUUUUUCUUUUUAAAUGCCAGUAACAGAUUUGGGGUAUGCGUAGCUAUAUACAUACACAGUUAAUAUGAAAGUCGGGUCCAUGAUAGCACUGGAUGUACACACAUCUCAGUUAGCGGUGCUUUACAGAAGGCAGCACAAAGCUGUCUGUGACUAUGGCUUGUUUUUUAAAAAAAAUAACCCUUUACUGAUAAAGUAAUGAAUAAUGUAUCUAAAUAAAUAAAAAGCGAAAUACUUUUAUUAGGCUGCUGAUAAUGUCAAUCUGAUGAAAGGAUCUGGAGUCAGGUGUCAAUGAAACAGUGUUUUGAAUUCUCCUUUACCAGCGUGGCAUUUCAAAAUGCCCAGUGUCAAGCCUGGAUAUUAUGAUAUAUGUUUCUUAUUUACUAUUAAUGUUCUUAGAGCUUCUGUGCUUUGCUAUUUGAUACCUUGGCUGUUUGCUUAAACUCUGUAUGCAAAUGCAGAGCUCAAAUACAAAGCUGGAGUGUUAAGAUUAAAGAAGAACUAGGAUUCCAAGAUUAAAAAGUGAGAUGAAUGUUUCCUGUAAAUAUGUAUCAUUAGUCCGAUUUUAAAAGGAUGUUUAGCAGUGAUUCAAAAAAAAUAAAUGAUAAUACUAAAAAAAUCAGCAUUGUAAAAGAAAUGGCCCUAAAUGCUUUAGAAUGCAUGGAUAGCAGAGAAGCCUUUCUCCAGCUGUAAAUGAAUGGCAUCUUCUGACGCCCACCGCAAAGGUAAUGGUAAGCAGAGCCCCACAUGACACUGUUCAGAUGCCUUCCCCUCAUUACACAUCCCUGUCCUAUCUGACUGCAGGCUGAGCAAGCUGUGUAGGGAAGAGGCUCCGUGCCCAGCUCCUUCUUCCAGUCCCUCUAUCCCUCAGAGCUGCAGCUUGGGGCCACCUGCACAGCUUCAGAGCACAGCGUUUGGGUACCAGCCCGGCCUGCAGCCCCAUCGGGAUGCCGGCUUCUACUCUCACCCCUUCUCCAUCCGAGGUGGAACUUGUUGCCAAGAGAGCAGCUGGCAUUGUUAUUCGAGACGGUAAACUUUCGCCUUGGGAAUAGUAUUUCUGUGCCUGUGUCACGGCUGGGAGAGGAAGAGUUCAGGGAGAAAAACUUGUUUGACAAGGAAGGCUUCUUUUGUUUAAAAAAAAAAAAAAAAAAAAAAAGAGGAGGGAAAGGGGGGGGGGAAGCUCCAAACUCGUGGGAAUAGGUGAAAGCGACAGAGGCUGAGACUGGAGACAAAGAUGAGAAGCGAUCCUUAACGUGUGAGCGUCUGCCCACCCCGCGGAGGGGAAAAUCAAAAGGCUGUCAGCACGGAGCGCGGUGCUGGGCGGGAGGCAGCGAGCAGCCGGGAGAUGGGAGCGCUCCAGGUGAGAUCGCAUCCUGCAGCCCUUCGGCACUGCUCUGACGGUGAUGGGAGAGGAGGCACAGGGGGCGUCAGCCCACCGACUGCAGGCAGGCUGUGGGGCCGAGGCACGAGGUGCAUCCAGCAAGGCUCGGUGAGCUCCGGCUGGCAGGAGAAGCAGCUGCAGAGCAGCGGUCACUUACAGGCUGCCUCUCGCUUUCUGCUUUUUUCACCUUUUUUGAUUUGUGAGCCGUGGUGUGUUUUCCAGAGGAGUGGGUCCCUUUUGAAAUGCACAUUCCCGAAGCGAUGCACAGCAUAAAUGGACUUGUUUUUCUUCGCCACCUCUCACAGACACCUUAGAAGUAGACCGCAGAGCUCCCAGAGGUCUGCAGACCCCCAGGUUGAAAACUAGUACUCUAAUGUUAAUCCUUUCAGUUGUCCAGUCCAGGAAAUGUGAUUAUUUUACAGCUGAGAGAACAGAGACAAAGAAAGGUGAUGCCAAAAAGCAAGAAUGGUGAAAACUUGGCUCUGAUCUAGGAGCAAGAAGUGAGGCUGGCUUUCCCCUGAGUCUUUCAGAUGCUAUGGAAAUCACUCCCAAAGUGUUCCCCUUUCAUUAGGGGAUGUGUAAAUUCACAUCCGUGGACAGUAAGUGCUCACAAAUCCCUCCGAACCCAGAGCGAUGCAUACCUGCUCCUCACUGCCUAUCACAGUUCUGAUAUGUCUCUUUUCACGCAGCCCGGUUUGAGACAGUGGUCAUGCCCAGGCUGUGGAGGCAGACAGUGGAUGAGAUGGCUCCAGGAAACAACACCACAAAGUUAGCAGCGUGAAGUGGAUGAUGACGUGGUGUCAUUCCCAGAAAGUCUUCUGCUGUUGGUAUCUCGUGAUGCAUCUUGACAGUGUGAUGGCAUCCCACAGCUCUCUGUGCAUCUUCAGGUAAGCGUGCAGUAUACCCACAGGGCAGCCAAAUCAUAGGAUCAGAGGAACUAAAGACAGGCAAGAUCUGUCAGAUCACAGAGCACAUGC